rnacentral:rRNA from 1 species
UACGUAGGGGGCAAGCGUUAUCCGGAUUUACUGGGUGUAAAGGGAGCGUAGACGGCGAUGCAAGCCAGAUGUGAAAGCCCGGGGCUCAACCCCGGGACUGCAUUUGGAACUGUAUAGCUAGAGUGUCGGAGAGGCAGGCGGAAUUCCUAGUGUAGCGGUGAAAUGCAUAGAUAUUAGGAGGAACACCAGUGGCGAAGGCGGCUUACUGGACUGUAACUGACACUGAUGCUCGAAAGUGUGGGUAUCAAACAGG